rnacentral:rRNA from 1 species
CAUACUGUCUGGCUAAGUUUGGUAAGGGUGGUGGAAUUCCAGUGUACGGUGAAAUGCGUAAUAUCUGGAGGAACAUCAUGGCGAAGCGACACUGGACCAAACUGACGCUGAGUGCAAAGCGUGGGGAGCAAACAGGAUUAAUACCCUGGUAUCCACGCCGUAACGAUGAAACUACGUCGGGCUCUUUAUGACUUGGUGGCGCACUAACGCGUAAGUCUCCGCCUGGGGAGUACGGCGCAAGGUUAAAACUCAAAGGAAUUGACGGGGGCCCGCACAAGCGGUGGAGCAUGUGGUUUAAUUCGAUGCAACGCGAAGAACCUUACCUGCCCUUGACAUCCUCAGAAUUUGUCAGAGAUGA